rnacentral:rRNA from 1 species
UACGUAGGGUCCGAGCGUUGUCCGGAAUUACUGGGCGUAAAGGGCGCGUAGGCGGUUCGGUAAGUCCUGUGUGAAAUCCCUCGGCUCAACUGAGGAACUGCACGGGAGACUGCCGGGCUUGAGUUCGGGAGAGGGAAGCGGAAUUCCGGGUGUAGCGGUGAAAUGCGUAGAUAUCCGGAGGAACACCGGUGGCGAAGGCGGCUUCCUGGACCGACACUGACGCUGAGGCGCGAAAGCUAGGGGAGCAAACGGG